GACGAACGCUGGCGGCGUGCCUAAUACAUGCAAGUAGAACGCAGUUGCGAACGGGGGAGUAACGCGUAAGUAACUGCCUGGUAGCGGGGGGUAAAUAUUUGGAACGAUAGCUAAUACCCCAUACACCCAGAUGGACCUGCGUUGGAUUAGCUAGUUGGUGGGGUAACGGCUCACCAAGGCAACGAUACAUCGCCGACCUGAGAGGGGGAUCGGCCAAACUGGGACUGAGACACGGCCCAGACUCCUACGGGAGGCAGCAGUAGGGAAUCUUAGGCAAUGGACGGAAGUCUGAUCGAGCAACGCCGCGUGAGUGAAGAAGGUUUUCGGAUCGUAAAACUCUGUUGUUAGAGAAGCGGUAUCUAACCAGAAAGCCACGGCUAACUCCGUGCCAGCCGCCGCGGUAAUAC
rnacentral:rRNA from 1 species